rnacentral:rRNA from 1 species
UACAGAGGUCUCGAGCGUUAGGCGGAAUCACUGGGCUUAAAGCGUGUGUAGGCGGAUCGUUAAGUGCCUUGUGAAAUCCCACGGCUCAACCGUGGAACUGCUUGGCAUACUGGCGGUCUUGAGCAACCUAGGGGCGAGCGGAACAAAUGGUGGAGCGGUGAAAUUCGUAGAUAUUCGCAAGAACACCAGUGGCGAAGGCGGCUCACUGGCCCGGUACUGACGCUGAGGUGCGAAAGCGUGGGGAGCAAACAGG